rnacentral:rRNA from 1 species
AAACCGUUGAAAGGGAAGCGAAUGGAGUUAGCAAUUCGCCCUGCCAGAUUCAGUCUUACGCGUUCCGCGACGGGCGCGCACUCGAUCUACGUAGACGAGUCGUGUUCGGACGCGGCACGGGAGAGGCGCAUUUAUGGCGGGCGAGCGUCAACGUCGGUCUUCGUCGGGCUAAAAGGCCGUGAGGGAGGUGAACGGCCUUCGGGCCGUUGUUAUAACCUCGCGAGCGUAUGGCUCGACGAAGACCGUGGAGUCGCGACGCGUGCUUCCCUCCGGGGGGGCUGGUGUCCUGUUCUGUUGGUCCGGUUGUCGACCGUGGCGGACGGCACGCCUGUGCGCUCGAACUGCUGCCGGUCAACAGGGCGGUGAUCACACACUACGCGUCGAGGACGUUGACGACCAUACGGCUCUAUCCGACCCGUCUUGAAACACGGACCAAGGAGUCUGACAUGUGCGCGAGUCUCUGGGUGAUCGAAACCCGUGGGCGCAAUGAAAGUAAAGGCGGCCUCGGCCGCUGAGGUGAGAAGCGUCGGCCCCGUGUCGGCGCCGCAUCAUCGACCGACCUGUUCUACUCUUAGAAAGGUUUGAGUAAGAGCGUACCUGUUGGGACCCGAAAGAUGGUGAACUAUGCCUGAAUAGGGUGAAGCCAGCGGAAACACUGGUGGAAGCUCGUAGCGAUUCUGACGUGCAAAUCGAUCGUCGAAUUUGGGUAUAGCGGCGAAAGACUAAUCGAACCAUCUAGUAGCUGGUUCCCUCCGAAGUUUCCCUUAGGAUAGCUGGGGCUCUCGUGCAGU